rnacentral:lncRNA from 1 species
GUCAUAUUUCCUGGCCUACAACAAGUGUGUGUGUGUGUGUGUGUGUGUGUGUGUGUCUUUUUUCUCCUUUUUAGCAUUCUUUGUGACAAUUAUUCUCCCUCACCGUGUCUUUGAGGGUCAGGGUGUGUGGUUUGUUUACUUUGGGUUUGUUGUUUUCUCUUGGUCUCUUUUAUUCUCCCUUAACAUCCAUAUUCUCUGUUCUCUCCUUCUCCCUUUACUUUUUUUUUCUAUUUUUCCUCCUCCUUUUCAAGAACCAUCACUUUAUCUCUUCAGCUUUUCUCUGUUCACAUUUUGAACAUUCUAAACUUUCUUCAACCUUCCUAUCACACUUUUUUCUCUCAAUGAGCUGUAUUUUCACCAUCUUUUGGCCUAUCUAGUUUAUAGGAUUGUGCCCCUGCCAUUUAUGUUGCUGCAGUUAUCAGUACUGACACCUGCUGAUUUAUGCCAGAUCUAGUUAACAAUUACUCAUUGUUCUUGCUGUUGGCAAUCACUGGCCCCAUGGUUCCCAUUUCUGUGGUAAUUCGUGUUCUAGAUGUCAUAACAGACAAGGGUUUUAUUUGAAUGCUGUAUUUGUUGCUUGGGUUGUUGCUAUUGUUUCUCUGUGAGGUGAUAAAAAUCUACAGGGACACUACAAGCUCACAGAUUAACCCAGCCAAAAUAUAGUGUACCUCAUUUCACACACAGAUUAAUCACACUUAAACUUCAAGUAUGCUUUAAUACAAAGAAUAGAACAGACAAAGACCCAAAACUAAUGGCCAGGCCCCAAGUGAGAAUGACAUGACUGGCAGUGGGGGGUACCUCAGAUCCCAUGGAUCUACCAUGCGGCCUGUGCAAUGGUUUCAUUAAUGAGGUUCUUGGCAUAAAGUUAGUUAGAAGAGAUCGAAAUAAAACACACAGACUCAGUUACCUUAUUUCUAUUGCCAGGUCCAAGACGGCUCCCCUCUCUGGCUCCAACCUCUAACUGCCCAGCAGGGCAGCAAGGAUUACUCAGGGCUAGCAGGAGAGAGAGAGAGUGAACACGCCAGGGAGUAGCCUUUUAUUGGGGAACAAGAAAUUCAAGGGAUAAUUCCAUCCAAUGAAGGUUGAGGGGGGACUGCACUCCAAGGUCAGGGUCAGUGAUUGGGCCCCUGGGGUCAGUGGUCAGUCACACCCCUACAUGGACGGGUUCUCUCAUCAGGAAAGGGCCGGGAAAAUUCCGACACAGCCAGAAGCCUCAGACCCUUAACAGGAGCCGCCCAGUCACGUGUCAGGAUGGCUUCCCACACAUGGACAUCUUUUCCUACAGUAAAGUCAGAACUAACAUCAAGGCUACAGGUACCACACUUAUGGGGACUCCACUCUAGGACACUUUGUUAGAGGAGGAUGUGCACUAAAAAGGCCCACAUGUAAAAGUAGAAGAGAAAUCCAUUCCACCAUAUGCAUAAAGUCCAAAACAUAGGAAUACAAGAAAUAUAUUUUUAAAAACAGUAACACAACACCUCCUAAUUCACCAGAUAAUGACUGCAAAGACAUCGAAGCAGGUGAAAUACUAGAUAAAGUAUUCAAAAGAAUGAUUAUAAAAAUGAUUAAUGAAUUCCAAGAAACUGAGGAAAAAGA